rnacentral:rRNA from 1 species
AGUGAACGCUGGCGGCAGGCCUAACACAUGCAAGUCGAACGGCAGCACAGUAAGAGCUCGCCCUUACGGGUGGCGAGUGGCGGACGGGUGAGGAAUACAUCGGAAUCCACUUUUUCGUGGGGGAUAACGUAGGGAAACUUACGCUAAUACCGCAUACGAUCUACGGGAGAAAGCAGGGGAUCUUCGGACCUUGCGCGACUGAAUGAGCCGAUGUCGGAUUAGCUAGUUGGCGGGGUAAAGGCCCACCAAGGCAACGAUCCGUAGCUGGUCUGAGAGGAUGAUCGGCCACACUGGAACUGAGACACGGUCCAGACUCCUACGGGAGGCAGCAGUGGGGAAUAUUGCGCAAUGGGCGCAAGCCUGAUCCAGCCAUGCCGCGUGAGUGAAGAAGGUCUUCGGAUCGUAAAGCCCUUUUAUUAGGGAAGAACAGCUGCGUAUUAAUCCCCCGCUGUUCUGACGGUACCCAAAGAGUAAGCCCCGGCUAACUUCGUG